rnacentral:rRNA from 1 species
AGAGUUUGAUUAUGGCUCAGGAUGAACGCUAGCUACAGGCUUAACACAUGCAAGUCGAGGGGCAGCAUUCCAGUUUGCUUGCAAACUGGAGAUGGCGACCGGCGCACGGGUGAGUAACACGUAUCCAACCUGCCGAUAACUCGGGGAUAGCCUUUCGAAAGAAAGAUUAAUACCCGAUGGCAUAAUAGAACCGCAUGGUUUGAUUAUUAAAGAAUUUCGGUUAUCGAUGGGGAUGCGUUCCAUUAGGCAGUUGGUGGGGUAACGGCCCACCAAACCUUCGAUGGAUAGGGGUUCUGAGAGGAAGGUCCCCCACAUUGGAACUGAGACACGGUCCAA